CAGUACCCCCCGAACCCACCCAAGGCUGCCUCCCGGACCCGCCAGGCAAAGACGGAACCUCUGCUGCAUGUGUUUCAAGCAUCACAGGAUCUUCUCAUUCCCAGAGGUUAGUGAAGAUCAGAA